UUGGUGUAGUGUACUCAGGUGAAUAUGAUAUUUGUGGUGUUACUCUGAGUGUAUAUCCACACCGGGCGAGCUUGAAAAAUAUGCCCGGCCACGGUGGGAUUCGAACCUACGACCUUUGGAAUGCUAGCCCAAUGCUCUUCCUACUGAGCUACGCGGUCAGGACGGUUUGAGUAAGUGAUAUUUCGGAACAGAAUCUAGUUCCUUCGAUACCAAUGUAUUCUAGUAAUAUGAAUUUUUUUUUUUUCUGUGUUGGUGUAGUGUACUCAGGUGAAUAUGAUAUUUGUGGUGUUACUCUGAGUGUAUAUCCACACCGGGCGAGCUUGAAAAAUAUGCCCGGCCACGGUGGGAUUCGAACCUACGACCUUUGGAAUACUAGCCCAAUGCUCUUCCUACUGAGCUACGCGGUCAGGACGGUUCGAGUAAGUGAUAUUUCGGAACAGAAUCUAGUUCCUUCGAUACCAAUGUAUUCUAGUAAUAUGAAUUUUUUUUUUUCUGUGUUGGUGUAGUGUACUCAGGUGAAUAUGAUAUUUGUGGUGUUACUCUGAGUGUAUAUCCACACCGGGCGAGCUUGAAAAAUAUGCCCGGCCACGGUGGGAUUCGAACCUACGACCUUUGGAAUACUAGCCCAAUGCUCUUCCUACUGAGCUACGCGGUCAGGACGGUUCGAGUAAGUGAUAUUUCGGAACAGUAUCUAGUUCCUUC